rnacentral:rRNA from 1 species
UACGGAGGGUGCAAGCGUUAUCCGGAUUUAUUGGGUUUAAAGGGUCCGUAGGCGGACCGAUAAGUCAGUGGUGAAAUCCUGCAGCUCAACUGUAGAACUGCCAUUGAUACUGUCGGUCUUGAAUUUGGUUGAAGUGGGCGGAAUAUGACAUGUAGCGGUGAAAUGCUUAGAUAUGUCAUAGAACACCGAUUGCGAAGGCAGCUCACUAAGCCUGGAUUGACGCUGAUGGACGAAAGCGUGGGUAGCGAAC